CAACUUCACUCUAAUUACAUUUCAUGCCACUGCUUCUGCUAUCUUCUCCCGCUGACACGUAACUCACGCACGUGCCUUUCAUUUUUGAGUGUACUGCCUUUACAUCUCCUCAAAGCUUGCCCAGCACACUGGAUCCGAACUCAAACCAAGUUUUCUUUUGAAGAAAACCCAUUGCCUGCUGCUGCUGUCCGUCAUUACUUUUAAAUUUUUGAACAAUAGAUUUUUAAAUUUCAAAUUUCACGCACCAAUAAUACAUACACCUUUCACUCUUUCAGUGUUCACUCUUCGGGCUUCUCGCACAAGAUGUGCACAUUAUUCAAUGCCCGAUUUCUGAUUGCACUGAUUUUGUUUAAGAUGUGUGAAUUUGUUGAAAUCAUACACCAGGGUCAUCAUUUAUGGAUUCUUCUUAUUAUUUUAGUUGCAGCUAAACUUUGUCCACAAACUGUUUGAUGGUUUGUGCAAAAGAAAUGGUUCGAUAAAUUUAUUAAUUAUUUAAUUGUAGUUGGUUAAGAUUUUUUGUGCAGUAGUCUUGCUUGAAACUUUGUUUGCUGAAAGUAUGCAAAUAUUUUAAUCAUCUUAACAGGCACGGUUGUUGAUAAUAUACAAUAUGGACCACAAUUGAGAGGAAAGAAGCUUAGUGACAGCGAGGUACAUAAGAUGCUUAAGCUUGCUGACCUUGAGACCUUGGCUAAUGAACCAGAGGUUUUGUUGUUGGAUGAGCCCACAAGUGCAUUGGAUCCGAUAUCAACACCGAACAUAGAGGAUGUUUUAGUGAAGCUGAAGACAAACCAGGAAAUGACUAUUAUUAUGGUUUCUCAUAGCAUCAAACAGAUCCAGAGAGUUGUGGAUGUCAAAUGGAAUGGACUACAUUGGAGUAUUAUCUCUUUCACUGCUAGAGUAGUCCUAAAACACGUUAUAGGAUUUUAUGAUUUGAAUGUUUCUUGAAAAUAUUUCUCAGGAUGUGGAGACAAAGAAAUACUUAUAACAGGACGAUGACAUAGGUAUUUUUUAUAUAUCGAUGGCUUUAAUUCUCUACGUAUUUCUGGAAUUUUUAAGUGUAUGUUGUUAGUGGUUUGACGUUUUCUUGAUUUGAGAGUGUUCUACUAUGCAAGACCCUGUUUUUUCAGAUUCAUUAGACAAUGAUUAUUUAGGUGGUAUGUUUUUGUUCAAAUUUUUUAUUUUCUGGAUUGCCAUGCAUACUUGCUAUAUCAGAGCAUUACAAAGAUUUAAUGUUUAACUCUAUCAGGUUAUUCCAGUACUGAUGAUGAUGAAGACUAUAGUCCUGUAAUAGCGGUCAGCACACUGUAUACUUUUGAAUUUAUUACUCAGCAUACUUAAUCUUUAAGACUUCCUUCAUUAGUGCAAUUUCACUAACAUUUUAACUUCUCACACUCCAAAGACCAGAGCAAAUCGACUAUGUUAAAAGUCAUACCUAAGGAAUGGACAUCUUUUAUAUAUACUCAUUAACAUAUUUACAUUCUAUAGUAACUUUAGACAGUUUCUGCAUCUUAUUGAAUGGUACAGUUCAUUGUUAUUAUUAUAGCCAUCUUUGUUACUGGUAAGUAACUUUAUGAGCUUCAUGCUGAGAAUGAAGGUUGUAAUAAAAUAGUAGGGUAAAACAUUGUGCAUUGCAUUCUGUGUUGCUAAGGAAAUUAGUUUUGACAGCUUCACAUAUAGAUUAAUUGGUAUUGCUGCAAAACUUUUGUCGUCAUGAACUAGGAUGCUGCUGAGAUUCAUGAGUACUGAUGGACAAUUCUCAGAGGUUGGUGAAGCGAGAACAAAAAUCCAGUGUGCAAAAAUUGGACUUAAAUAUAUCUACAAGGCAUCUAAUAUUAACGUGAACCAAGUAGAGAAGCCAUGCUCUCCGGCACAAUGUGCCAUCCAAAAUCGUUGUAAUAUUGUUGUACCAGGUCUUAAACACUCACAUAUAUAGUUUUCACCAUUUUUGCUGAGACUGUAACCCAAGAAAUUUAAAGAAGUUGUAGAUUUUUUCAAGCUAGGACCCAGCGUUAUUUUUUGACAAUUAACUGUUUGAUUUAAUAUUUGAAAUAAUAUUACGUUGUAAUCUAUGUAUAUAAUAAAUACUGCUGCCUCUUCUGCACAGUACUGUUAUGGUGCUUAACUUUCACCCUUCAGCCUUCUUAUAAUUACAACUCCUGCCAUUCCACCUGAUACACUCCGCUGUCGACACGUAGCUUGAGCACGUGGGCCUCCAAUUUUGCUGCCAGCUCACAGCAGGUAACACAGAUUGUAUAACCGAAGCCAACAGAAGAUAGUAAAAAAGGUAACACAUAUUGAAGGAAAUUAUCAAAUAUAAAGGCUUUCAAGUAGUCCUGGCUGAAAUUUCAGCUCUGCUACUUACUCAUCCUACAAUUUCAGAUGCUGCAGUUGUUCCCAUGAUCGAUGAGAAAGCUGGAGAGGUGCCUGUAGCGUUUGUUAUGAGAUUAAAUGGUUUCACCACCACUGAGGAAGAAAUCAAGCAAUUCGUCUCAAAAUAGGUGAGAAUCAUCAACACUUCUAUUUUUCAGAGGAUGAAACAAGCUGUUUUUUUCCUUUUCCUUUUCCUUUUUUUUUUAAUUUUAGAUUAUCUCCUGGAGGUUAUUCCACAUUGAAUAUUUUUGGUUAAUGAUUUCAUCUGAUUCUAAGCUAAGUUUGUCGACUUCGGUCUGGCAAAGGAAAGAAAUGGAGGCUGCUAUCUAAGGUGAUAAUAUCUUACCUCUAAGUAAUGGUUGUAAAUGUAUUAUCUUUUCUUUGAGUACUUUGUGGAAGGCUGUCAGGCUUGCGAAUUUGUAAGCCAGACUACCAGAGUCCAAAUUCUCUAUUCUGCUAACCAAGUAGUUUGCUGUUGAUGUGAUAUGGAUUCCUUAAAAGUACGAGAAAACCCAUAAUUGUACUUUGGACUAUUCUGAAAAUGAAAUGCUUGAAACUGGAAUGGAAAUAAUGCCUAUGCGGAAAGUAUGUUCCAACAAACUAAUUGACGACUGAGGAAACUAGAGUAAAAAAAUAUAAUAAAAGCAGGGAAGUGGAAGAGAUUGCCAUGUGGCAGAAGUUGUAGAUUGCUUGAAUAUUACUACUUGCCCUUUUGCAGGUUCUCUACAAAGUCUAUGCUAUCCGGAAAGAAUGUUGUAGAAGCUAAUAGAUUUGUCAAAGAACCAAGAAGCUUGAGUUUGAAACCUCCAAGCACAGGCCUGUAUGUGUCUCCCUGAUUUUCUUGGACUUAUGCAUUGUCUUUUAGUUUUCAUAUAAACUACUGUCUCGAAGGUUGGCGGAAACCAGUCAAAGAGUCACCAUGUUAGUUUCUCAGAAUACUCAACUCAGCAAGGCUCUCAUAGCAAAAGAAAGGUAAUUAAAGAUUUACAAGAAUGCAGAGCUUGGUCAGAUGCAAAUUCCAGCACUCUAAUGACAAAAUUAGAGUGUACAGAGAAAGAGAAUGCUAUAUCUCCCGAUAUUGUAUUAAAUCUAUAGAGAAACAUCUUCCUGAUACAUAGUUGUGAAAUAAAGAGAGACAUAGCAGGACAAUGUUCGUAGCAAGCCUUUUAACCAUGAAUAUGAUACUAAAUGUAUAACUUAAAAAGGUGAA